UAUAUUUAGUUCAGUGCCAUGAUAAUUAUAAUUUUUGGUGAUACUUAUUCUUUAUAUGCAUUAUUGGAUGUCCUUUGUUUUCAAACAGCAGGACACCGUUACCUGGCUGAGGAACGGCCUAUGCUCAAAAAAGUACGGCUUCAGGGGUCUGUUCCUACAAAUUCUGAGGUGCUCCCAGGGUGUAGGUCAGACAGAAUGUCUUGUGCACCACUGUUUAAAUCUUUCCAACCGAUUGCUUCCAGUUCCAGCAUUGUCCCGCCACCCUCGCCCGGGCCACAAGAAAAUGAUUCUAGUUCCCCGUCAGAGGAUUUCUUGGCAGGUAAAAAAAAAAUCUCAUUUAACCAAGUACAUUCAAAUGUCUAUAACAUAUUUAAAUGACAAAAAUUAUCCGGUUGAGGUAAGAUUUUGCAUGGGGGUCUAUUUCUAAACGACAAAAGUUUACCACCUUGCUUUAUGCAAAAUGCUAACAAUGCUGUCAUUUUAUCAAAGGGGGAAAAUCAUUUUGAUUUAAUAGAUUUAGACAACUACUCUGAGGAUGCGGAGGUGGCCAGAGACAAGGUUGGAUAAUUAAGCAAUAAUCCUGUAAGAGGUGUGGUAUAUUGACAAAAUACCACAGCUAAUUAAAGUUAUUAGGCACAGCACAAGAUAGCCAUGGUAUUUUGGCCAAUACUUAAAUCUUCCAAGGUACCUUUGUUGAAUUAAUAAUAAACAUACAUUAGAUUAAUCAAAUGACUAGGGUCUGGCUGAACAACAGGUCUGGCUGAACAACAGGGGUUUGAAGAAACUGAAGUUUUA